rnacentral:rRNA from 1 species
AACUCUUAGCGGUGGAUCACUCGGCUCGUGCGUCGAUGAAGAACGCAGCUAGCUGCGAGAACUAAUGUGAAUUGCAGGACACGUUGAUCAUCGACACUUCGAACGCACUUUGAUCAUAGUCACGCCUGUCUGAGGGUCA